UCUCUCUGGUCUCAGUUAACUCUGUCCCUCAGGUCUCAGUGCAGAAGUCACCUCCACCACGAAGCCUCCUCUGUCUGACCCUCUGUUUUAAACUUUUUCCUACUGUAAAUAUGUCCCAUUUUCUGAAAAAAAUCAGCAUAUUUUAAAGUAUUCUGGCACAAAGCUGGUUUUCAGCUUUCAGAGCCAUUUAUUUAUUUAUCUAUUUAUUGGAGACAGAGUCUCGCUCUGUCACCCAGGCUGGAGUGCAGUGGCGCGAUCACAGCUCACUGCAGCCUCCACCUCCCGGUUUCAGUGCCUCAGCCUCUCGAGUAGCUGGGAUUAUACCACACCACCAUGGCUGGCUUUUGUAUUUUUAGUAGAGACAGGGUUUCAUCAUGUUGCCCAGGCUAGUCUUGAAUUCAUGACCUCAGGCAAUCUGUCCACCUCAGCCUCCCAAGUGCUAGGAUUACAGGCGUGAGCCACCGCACCCGGCCCAGAGCCAAAUAUUUAUAUGUUUCUGUAGGUUUCUAUACGUAUGGCACAUAUUACCCUGUGUGGUGAGUGUCUGUGUCAGUGCCUGACUCUCCCACCAGACUGGGAAGUUCUUGGGAAUAGCAACUAGUUCUGUUCCAUCUCUGGGUCCCCAGAGUCCAGUUGAGGGCUAGACACACAGGGAGGAUGAGCCAGUAAGGUGGGUUCCUAUAGGACAGAAGGGAGCAGGGACUGGGACCAGCUGGGCCAUUGAGAGGAGCAGGGUGCGGGAAGGGGCCAGGUGGAGGGGCUGGGCUGGGCCACACCUUGUCUAUGUAACUCUGGCCCAGCCCCUUCACUUCCUGAAGGUGGACCUGGGCUUGGGCCUGGCUCUUCUUGCCUGUCCGCCUCCGACAGCUCUUCCGGUAGAGACAGAAACAGCAGCUGAAGAUGAGGAGGCCUGAGACCAGCACGAUGGUGGCCAGGGCCCAGGGGGGCACUGCAGAGGGGUGGAGACAACACACAUUGAGGCCUGGGCAGCACGCAGGCUGAUUCAGUCCUGAUUACACGUGGAAGCUGGAAUGCUGGCCUCCUUUUCCCUCCAGCCAUUUUCAUUGCAUUUCUUCCUGUGUUUUUCUUCCACCUAAUGUGGCCUAUAGAGAGAUUCGAUGCCCCAACCCAGGCUGACACCAUCUGGAUUUGCUUGCUUGUUAGUUCUGCCUUUCCUUACCCGACCCCGCCCCCCAUUUCUGCUCAACUCCUGAUGCUUUUACAAGAAGCCCUGCUCCUCAUCGGGCCUGUUUCCUUAUCUGUAAAAGAAGAGCUAGGUGGACCUUCCAAUUCUAAGAUCCCAUUCCAUGCAACACCCCUUGAUCCGGUUUCGAUUUUUUUUUUUUUUUUUUUUUUUUUUUUUUUGCAAAUCUGUUCCUUCCUUUUACCCCAUUUCGUUCGCAUUCCAGUCCAGGAUGACGACCCGGGAUCCCAGCCGGAUUUUCCAGCCCGCCUGCCCGAGUACACCCGUCCGAAUCCCGCCCCUCGGAAUCCUGGCCAGGCUUUCUCUCUGCUCGGCCCCCCACCCCCGGGUCUUGCUCACCUGGGCCGUGGCUGAUGCGACUGGAGUCGGGAGGCGUGUCGGGCGAUGGAGGCCCCGGGGUUGGGGGCUCCGGGAACAUGGUGGCGGGGUCCUGGAGUCUUUUCUGCAGAGACACUCAAGCACCCUAGUCCCCCAUUCCCACCCCAGACGUCCUUUGAGCCCCACGCACAACAAAGAACUCCAACUCCCAUGAGGCCUUUGCGCGAACAGCCGCGCAGAAACCGGACAGCCAGAGGCGCCAGCCCCGCCCGGACCCCACCCCCUGCACGUGGGCGGUGGCGCUGUCCCGGGUGCUGAUCGCGGAGCUCUCCGGGGCGGGGGAGCCGCGGAGCGGAGCAGGAUCCCGUGCGCGCGUGUGUGCCCGUGUGCGUGUGCGCGCGUGUGUGGUGUGUAUUGUGUGUGCCCGUAUUUGGUCUCGGGUAGGCGGAAAGCCCUGCCCCGCCCCUCCUCCCGCCUCCACCCGGGAACCUCGAUGACGCCCACAGAUGUUUAUCCUGGUGCUUUAGCAUUUUCUGCCUUCUGGUCCAGUCGUUGGCCGUCCAGACCACUCCACUCCUCCCGCCCCAACACACACGACACACACCCUGUAUAGCCCAAAGAACGGCAUGCCAGGAUACUCAGUCCUAGGACCUAGGAGACCCCAGACCCCCAUUGGAGACCCAGACUCUGCAGGGUUCAGCAUCAAAGUCCCCAGCUAUCAGCCCCCAGACAUCGCCCUCUAAGUUCCCCUAACACCAGUCCCAGGAGGCGGCCAGUGCGGUGGCUCAUACCUGUAACCUCAGCACUUUGGGAGGCCGAAGCAGGAGGAAUGCUUGAGCCCAGGAGCUGGAGACCAGCCUGGGCAACAUAGCAAAAUCCCGUCUCUACAAAAAUGAGCCAGCGUGGUGGUGCGCACUUGUGAUGGCAGCUACUCUAGAGGCUGAGGUGGGAAGAUCACCUGGGCCCAGGAGGUCAAGGCUGCAGUGAGCCACUGCACUCCAGUCUGGGCAACAGAGCAAGACCAUGUCUCAAAAACAAAAACAAAAACAGAACAAAACAACAACAACAACAACAGAGAAGAGUAAAAGAAAAGCUCAGAAGGCAAGUCCCCAAGCACCUAGCUCCAGCGAGCCCUGUCCAUACUGCCCAGACCCUGGACACAGACGUCUGGACACUGCCUUCUCUGAGAGACUCAACCACCCAAACCUACAUUUUUUCAUGUGCAAAUGUGUGGGUCCCUCUAGUCCCCUCCUGGACGUUCGCCUCGAUCCCUAGAUACCAGGAACCCAUCCCUACUCCCAAUCCAAUAUUAUUUCCAGACCCAGAAAUCCAUGGGACAACUGUCUCUGGGGAGAACAGUGAUUUAAUAAAUUAUGGGAUAGAAGGAAAAAUACAUGUGGAUGGUGGGGUGCAGAGAGACCUUGGGCACAGGGACUCCCUCCGACCCCAGAUUAUAGAAGACUGAUUUGGUUUCUGAAGUAAAAUCAAGGCAGGAUCCUUCCUGCCUUUGGUCCUCAAGUAGCCAGAACUCCAGACCCAAAUUCCUUCCUGCCUCAGAAUCCAGGCCCCAGCCUGUUUCUUUCUGCAUCCUGGAAAGACCUAGGGAAUCCAAGCUAUCAUCCCUCUCCUCCUUCAGGGAACCAGGAAUCCAGAUCCCCAGCUCCCAUAGGACUCAUCUGAAGCCCACCAGACCACUCUCUCCUGGGGAAACCAGAGUUUGGGAUACCAGCCCCCUCCUCCCACAGCACCCAGGAGUCUGGGAGCCCAGCCCUCUGCUCUUCCAGGAAUCUGGGCUCAAGUGGGUGUCCAGAGCUUGAGGAUGCCUGGGCUGCCGACCCAGCCCCCUCGUCACUUAGACCUCCAACUUGUGGGCCUGGAUGGCGGCCACGUUCUCGUAGAUGAGGUUUUCGACAUCCUCAUACGGGACUUCCUUCUCGGCUGGGGCCUGGGCUGACUGUUGGAGGAACCGCAGGAUGCACUGAUGCAGGAAUACGUACUGAGCCUGGGAAGCAGGCACGGGAGUGAGAGGCGUCCCCCCAGGUCUGAGCUGCGUGGAGCCCCAGGGUCCCUCGUCCCACUGCCUCCCGUCCUGUGUUGCUGAGGGACUGCCUCACCUCAGUCUGCACCAUCAACGGCCGACUCUCUCUCAUCUUCCUUACAAAGCUGAAGGGCCCAAGGAGACCCUCGGACUGCAGCUGCCGGAGCAGGACGUCCAGGGCAAUGAGGGUUCCUGUGCGACCCACGCCAGCACUAGGCAGAACAAGGGAAGGGUCAGACCAAGGGGCAGGAGUGUGAGGGUCCGGGGUCAUGGCUGAUUGGAGGGAUCUGUGUUUGAAUGAUGACAAUAACUAUGCCUGCUCACACCUGUAAUCCCAGCACUUUGGGAGGCUGAGGCCGGUGGAUCACCCAAGGUCAGGAGUUCCAGACCAGCCUGGCCAACCUGGCAAAACCGUCUCUUCUAAAAAUGCAAAAAUUAGCCGGGUAUGGUGGCGCAUGCCUGUAAUCCCAGCUACUUGGGAGGCUGAGGCGAAGAAUCGCUUGAACCCAGGAGGUGGAGGUUGCAGUGAGCCAAGAUCACACCACUGCACUCCAGCCUGGGCGACAAGAGCAAAACUCCCAUCUCAAAAACAACAACAACAACAACAACAAAACUGCCUGGAGUUCCUUCCAUCUGUUAGGCUCUGUUCUAAGUGCCUGAUGGGCCUUCUUCACUCCUCCCAAACCUAAGAAGUCGGAUGUACUAGCUCCAUUGUACAAAUGGGGAAAUGGAGGCUGAGUGAGGUGAAGUCCCAUUCCCCAGGCCACUCAGCUAAUAAGUGGCAGAGCCGGGGUUCAAAUACAGGAAGAGGAACUCUCCAGCCAAUCAUUUAGUAAUUCCUUUAAACACAAAAAUUAGUCUUUUGUUUUGUUUGAGACAGGAUCUCUCUCUGUCACGAAGGCUGAAGUGCAGUGGCAUGAUCUCGGCUCACUGCACCCUUGACCUCCUGGGCUCAAGUGAUCCUCCUGUCUCAGCCUCCUGAGUAGCUUGGAUCACAGGCAUGCACCACUGCAUCUGACUAACUUAUUAACUUUUUAAUAGAGACGGGGUCUUGCCAUGUUGCCCAGGCUGGUCUCAAACUCCUGGACUCAAGUGAUCCUCCCACCUCAGCCCCCCAAAGUGCUGGGAUUACAGGCAUGAGCUACUGUGCCCAGUGAAAAAAUUAGCUAUUUUAGGCUGGGCACAGUGGCUCACGCCUGUAAUCCCAGCACUUUGGGAGGCUGAGGUGGGUGGAUCACGAGGUCAGGAGAUUGAGACCAUCCUGGCCAAUAUGGUGAAACCCCGUCUCUACUAAAGUACCAAAAAAAAAAAAAAAUUACCCGGGUGUGGUGGCGGGCGCCUGUAGUCCCAGCUACUCGAGAGGCUGAGGCAAGGGAAUCACUUGAACCCGGGAGGCGGAGAUUGCAGUGAGCCGAGAUCACAUCACUGCACUCCCAGCCUGGGCGACAGAGCAAGAUUCCGUCCCCCACAAAAAUAAAUAAAUAAAUAAAUUAGCUAUUUUAAGCUGGGCGCACUGGCUCACGCCUGUAAUCCCAGCACUUUGGGAGGCUGAAGCAGGCGGAUCACCGGAGGUCAGGCGUUGGAGACCAGCCUGGCCAACAUGAAGAAACCUCAUCUCCACUAAAAAUACCAAAAUUAGCCAGGCGGGGUGGCAGGCACCUGUAUUCCCAGCUACUCAAGAGGCUGAGGCAGGAGAAUUGCUUGAACUUGGGAGGUGGAGGUUGCAGUGAGCGGAGAUCGCACCGUUGCACUCCAGCCUGGGUGACAUAGCGAGACUCUGUCUCCACAAAAAAAAAUAGCUAUUUGAACGUGAGCAAUUUGUCACACUCACAACGCUGUGCAGCCCCCACCUCUAUCUACUUGCAAAACACUUUCAUCACCCCUAAAGCAGACACCACGCCCAUUAGGCCGUCUCUCCCUAUUGCCUGUCACCCUCCAGGGCCUGGAAGCUACUAAUCUCUUCAGUGUCUCUGUUGCUUUGGCUGAUCUAGAUAUGCUUCUGGAUAUGCACACUAAUGGAAUGAUGUGAUGACAUCCACUCAGCUCUAAAAUGGGGAGGACAU
rnacentral:lncRNA from 1 species